rnacentral:rRNA from 1 species
CAGCAGUCGCCGCGGUAAUACAGAGGGUGCGAGCGUUAAUCGGAUUUACUGGGCGUAAAGCGUGCGUAGGCGUCUUCUUAAGUCGGAUGUGAAAUCCCUGAGCUUAACUUAGGAAUUGCAUUCGAUACUGGGAAGCUAGAGUAUGGGAGAGGAUGGUAGAAUUCCAGGUGUAGCGGUGAAAUGCGUAGAGAUCUGGAGGAAUACCGAUGGCGAAGGCAGCCAUCUGGCCUAAUACUGACGCUGAGGUACGAAAGCAUGGGGAGCAAACAGGAUUAGAUACCCGCGUAGUCCCUGUCUCUUAUAC